rnacentral:rRNA from 1 species
UACAGAGACUGCAAGCGUUUAUUCGGAUUCACUGGGCGUAAAGGGCGCGUAGGCGGCACAGCAAGUCGGGAGUGAAAGCCCGGGGCUCAACCCCGGAACGGCUUUCGAAACUGCUGAGCUAGAGUACAGAAGGGGCAACCGGAAUUCCCAGUGUAGCGGUGAAAUGCGUAGAUAUUGGGAAGAACACCUGAGGCGAAGGCGGGUUGCUGGGCCGACACUGACGCUGAGGCGCGAAAGCCAGGGGAGCAAACGGG